rnacentral:rRNA from 1 species
UACGAAGGGUGCAAACGUUGCUCGGAAUUACUGGGCGUAAAGGGCUCGUAGGCGGCCAACUAAGUCGGAUGUGAAAUCCCCAGGCUUAACCUGGGAACUGCAUCCGAUACUGGAUGGCUUGAAUCCGGGAGAGGGAUGCAGAAUUCCAGGUGUAGCGGUGAAAUGCGUAGAUAUCUGGAGGAAUACCGGUGGCGAAGGCGGGUCUCUGGGCCGAUACUGACGCUGAGGAGCGAAAGCGUGGGGAGCGAACAGG